GUGCUCGCUUCAGCAGCACAUACACUAAGAUUGGAACGAUACCGAGAAGGUUAGCAUGGUCCCUGCACAAGAAUGAGCAGCAAAUUCAUGAAGCGUUCCACAUUUUU